rnacentral:rRNA from 1 species
UACGGGGGGAGCAAGCGUUGUUCGGAUUUACUGGGCGUAAAGGGCGCGUAGGCGGCCAGCACAAGUCAGUUGUGAAAUCUCCGAGCUUAACUCGGAAAGGUCAACUGAUACUGUGCGGCUAGAGUGCGGAAGGGGCAACUGGGAAUUCUUGGUGUAGCGGUGAAAUGCGUAGAUAUCAAGAGGAACACCUGCGGCGAAGGCGGGUCUCUGGGCCGAUACUGACGCUGAGGAGCGAAAGCUAGGGGAGCAAACGGG